GUGGUGGCUCAGUGGCAGAGCACUCACCUAGCGUGUGUGAGGCACUGGGUUCGAUUCUCAGCACCACA
rnacentral:tRNA from 1 species